AUUUUUAUUUGAAACAUUUUUGUCAAAACUGUGAGGUAUGCUUUUUUGUUGUUGUUGUUGUUCUAUUUUGUUCCUUCCAAAAUAGGCAAGAAGAAACAAGAUGAUUUUGAAGGCCUUCUACUCUUCAUCUUGCAUCAUAGUAUAGUAUCAGCUUUCCAGGUUAUACUUUGACAAAAAAUAUUAGAAAAUAAAAAUAGGUUCAUGAAGCAUCUUACCUGUUUUUUAAAAUUAAAUAUUUUUUCUUGCAGGCAACUGCAGUGGAGUGUAAUUCCUGGGAACAAGAACAUAUUCACUUCAUAUUCUCUAAAGCUAAGCGGUCUGAUUGAUAGACUUGAGAGAGUCUUGCAGAGAACAGCAGAGGCCUUGGAGAGCAGGUGGAAAUGAGGGUUUUUGAAAUGUGCCAAGAACGUGGUUGUGGUGCUGCUGUAGAUGAAGAGGAGCUGUAUCUCCUAGGAAUGGUUUGGAUCAUGGUGAUAGCUAGGAAGAGCCUGAGGAGGCAGGAAGGAAGAAGCCCAGGAUGGGUAGGAACUAAUUCACAUCCUUAGAUUAGCAAAACCUAAGAAUUCUCUCCUAUAAUUGUAAAUAUGUAAACAUCUUUGUACCUUCUGCUUGUAAAAACUUUAAUAUAGUACAUGUAUGUAGAAGCACUCUGUUUUAAAGCACAUUGACACUUCUAUCUUAACAGAUAUGCGAGGCUGUGCAGAUUUCAUACCCUGUGUAAAAAAAUUAUAAAUUUGUAGGAUGAGAACAUAGCAUAAGAUGUAUUUUUUUACAUAACUGCUUCAUCCUCAUGCAAUCUCCAGCACAACUUAGGCACUAUGAAAGAAGUGAAUGCUUUGAAGUUCCCAAUCCAACUAGCCACUUGUGGAUGGAAUAUUGUUUAUUUUUUAUUUAUAUAAAAUGGAAUAUGUUAUACAAACGUGCUUCUUUUUUAAAAAAACAUAUGUUAUAAACAUAUUCCAAUAUGCAUAUGGAAUAUAUUUAUUUUUUAUUUGUUUGUUUGUAUAUGACUGCAGUAAAACAUAACUGCUUUUUGUGAUUGGAAGUUGAACUCCCUCUCCAGGUAUGUGGUUCUAUGCGUCAUAAGGACGAGUGUAAUUUUAUUUUUAUGUUCAGCUUUGACUGUAAGAGCCUUGACAGCUUUCAGACAAAAUACAAUGAAUAAAAAAAAAUGAUUAAUUCUGAAGUCUGCCAUUGUGAAGUAGACAAUUUUAUUAAAACUUCAAGGUCUCUUAAUCUUGAUAACUCUCAUAAUGUCUCUACAAGUCUAUUUUAUAAAAUACUGCAUCAUAACAGUUAAGUAUUACUGCUACAUAUGUGCGUUCUCAGAUUACCAACAUAUGGAUUCUCUUUGUUUUUCCAGUGAUAACUGGCAUAACGUGUCUCGAGUAGAAAC
rnacentral:lncRNA from 1 species